rnacentral:lncRNA from 1 species
UUUUCGCAAUCUGAAACCCUAGCUCCCAAAUCCAUCUAUUCUCACCUUUUCUAAUUUGUUACUUUGAUUCGCAAUGGCUCGUAUGAAGUAGACCGCUUGUAAGUCCACCGGUGGAAAGGCUCAAAGGAAGCAACUCGCUACCAAGGCUGCUAGGAAAUCUGCUCCAACAACCGGAGGAGUGAAGAAGCCUCAUCGUUAUCGUUCUAGAACUGUCGCACUACGGUGAAUUGGCCAAACAUGCUGUUUCCGAGGGUACUAAGGCUGUUACCAAGUUUACUAGCGCUUAGAGGAGAUUGGUUUGUUGGUUUGAGAUGCCUUGAAGUUGGACUGGAAGAAGACAACAAGUAGAGAAAUAUGCUAUGACCGGAAAAUUGAAGAAAGUUUGUUUAUACACGUAAAUGAAAGGGAGACUAGAAUUGUUGUCAGAUAAUCCGCCACAAAAUGUUCUUUAAUGUUGAAAUUAGGUGUAUGGUUUUUGUGUAGUUUGGAUUUUAUUGUGUUAUUUGAAUAAGUUGGUAUUUUAAUUUUAUUGGUUU